rnacentral:rRNA from 1 species
AGUGGGUUCUAAGUUCUGCCGAAAGAAUGAAUUUUCGAGUGAAACACAAAUGCCUAACUAUAUGAACAAAGCGAAUAUAAUACACUUGAAUAAUUUUGAACGAAAGGGAAUACGGUUCCAAUUCCGUAACCUGUUGAGUAUCCUGUUUGUUAUUAAAUAUGGGCCUCGUGCUCAUCCUGGCAACAGGAACGACCAUAAAGAAGCCGUCGAGAGAUAUCGGAAGAGUUUUCUUUUCUGUUUUAUAGCCGUACUACCAUGGAAGUCUUUCGCAGAGAGAUAUGGUAGAUGGGCUAGAAGAGCAUGACAUAUACUGUUGUGUCGAUAUUUUCUCCUCGGACCUUGAAAAUUUAUGGUGGGGACACGCAAACUUCUCAACAGGCCGUACCAAUAUCCGCAGCUGGUCUCCAAGGUGAAGAGUCUCUAGUCGAUAGAAUAAUGUAGGUAAGGGAAGUCGGCAAAUUAGAUCCGUAACUUCGGGAUAAGGAUUGGCUCUGAAGAUUGAGAUAGUCGGGCUUGAUUGGGAAACAAUAACAUGGUUUAUGUGCUCGUUCUGGGUAAAUAGAGUUUCUAGCAUUUAUGUUAGUUACUUGUUCCCCGGAUAGUUUAGUUACGUAGCCAAUUGUGGAACUUUCUUGCUAAAAUUUUUAAGAAUACUAUUUGGGUUAAACCAAUUAGUUCUUAUCAAUUAUAACGAUUAUCAAUUUAACAAUCAAUUCAGAACUGGCACGGGACUUGGGGAAUCCGACUGUCUAAUUAAAACAAAGCAUUGUGAUGGCCCUAGCGGGGUGUUGACACAAUGUGAUUUCUGCCCAGUGCUCUGAAUGUCAAAGUGAAGAAAUUCAAGUAAGCGCGGGUCAACGGCGGGAGGUAACUAUGACUCUCUCUUAGAGGUAGCCCAAUUGCCUGUCAUUCUAAUUAGUGACCGGCGCAUGAAUGGAUUAACGAGAUUCCUACUGUCCCUAUCUACUAUCUAGCGAAACCACAGCCAAGGGAACGGGCUUGGAAUAAUUAGCGGGGAAAGAAGACCCUUUUGAGCUUGACUCUAAUCUGGCAGUGUAAGGAGACAUAAGAGGUGUAGAAUAAGUGGGAGAUAUUAGACCUCGGUUUGGUAUCGUCAAUGAAAUACCACUACUCUUAUUGUUUCCUUACUUACUUGAUUAAAUGGAACGUGUAUCAUUUCCUAGCCAUUAUACGGAUAUAUUUAUUAUAUCUUAUGGUAUUGGGUUUUGAUGCAAGCUUCUUGAUCAAAGUAUCACGAGUUUGUUAUAUAAUCGCAAACAAAUUCUUUAAUAAAACGAUGCAUUUAUGUAUUUUUGAUUUGAAAAUUUGGUAUAACUCCAAUUACUCAGGUAUGAUCCAAUUCAAGGACAUUGCCAGGUAGGGAGUUUGACUGGGGCGGUACAUCUCUCAAAUAAUAACGGAGGUGUCCCAAGGCCAGCUCAGUGCGGACAGAAACCACACAUAGAGCAAAAGGGCAAAUGCUGACUUGAUCUCGGUGUUCAGUACACACAGGGACAGCAAAAGCUCGCCCUAUCGAUCCUUUUGGUUUAAAGAGUUUUUAACAAGAGGUGUCAGAAAAGUUACCAUAGGGAUAACUGGCUUGUGGCGGCCAAGCGUUCAUAGCGACGUCGCUUUUUGAUCCUUCGAUGUCGGCUCUUCCUAUCAUUGUGAAGCAAAAUUCACCAAGCGUUGGAUUGUUCACCCAUGCAAGGGAACGUGAGCUGGGUUUAGACCGUCGUGAGACAGGUUAGUUUUACCCUACUAAUGACAAAACGUUGUUGCGACAGCAUUCCUGCGUAGUACGAGAGGAACCGCAGGUACGGACCAAUGGCACAAUACUUGUUCGAGCGAACAGUGGUAUGACGCUACGUCCGUUGGAUUAUGCCUGAACGCCUCUAAGGUCGUAUCCGUGCUGGACUGCAAUGAUAAAUAAGGGGCAAUUUGCAUUGU